GUGACAAUAAAUACUGAUACAGGUGGUUUUAUGCCUCUUGUAAUUGGAAUGAGUACAAUUUAAAUCUCUUAACGAGGAACAAUUGGAGGGCAAGUCUGGUGCCAGCAGCCGCGGUAAUUCCAGCUCCAAUAGCGUAUAUUAAAGUUGUUGCAGUUAAAAAGCUCGUAGUUGAACCUUGGACCUGGCCGACCGGUCUGCCUCACCGCAUGCACUGGUUUGGCCGGGUCUUUCCUUCUGGCAAGCCGCAUGCCCUUCACUGGGUGUGUUGGGGAACCAGGACUUUUACUUUGAAAAAAUUAGAGUGUUCAAAGCAGGCAUUUAGCUCGAAUACAUUAGCAUGGAAUAAUAGAAUAGGACGUGUGGUUCUAUUUUGUUGGUUUCUAGGACCACCGUAAUGAUUAAUAGGGAUAGUCGGGGC
rnacentral:rRNA from 1 species